rnacentral:piRNA from 1 species
UGGGACAAGAACAUCCCCUGGAGCCUGCU